rnacentral:rRNA from 1 species
GAGGAAUAAGCAUCGGCUAACUCCGUGCCAGCAGCCGCGGUAAUACGGGGGAUGCAAGCGUUAUCCGGAAUCAUUGGGCGUAAAGCGCCUGUAGGUUGUUUAAUAAGUCUGUUGUUAAAGACUAGGGCUUAACCCUAGAAAAGCAAUGGAAACUACUAGACUAGAGUAUGGCAGGGGUAGAGGGAAUUUCUAGUGUAGCGGUGAAAUGCGUAGAUAUUAGAAAGAACACCGGUGGCGAAAGCGCUCUACUGGACCAUUACUGACACUCAGAGGCGAAAGCUAGGGUAGCAAAAGGGAUUAGAUACCCCUGUAGUCCUAGCCGUAAACGAUGGAUACUAGAUGUUGUGCAUAACGUACAGUAUCGUAGCUAACGCGUUAAGUAUCCCGCCUGGGGAGUACGCUCGCAAGGGUGAAACUCAAAGGAAUUGACGGGGGCCCGCACAAGCGGUGGAGCAUGUGGUUUAAUUCGAUGCAACGCGAAGAACCUUACCAGGGCUUGACAUACUACAAAUUCUUUUGAGAAAAAGAAGUGCCUUCGGGAAUGUAGAUACAGGUGGUGCAUGGCUGUCGUCAGCUCGUGUCGUGAGAUGUUGGGUUAAGUCCCGCAACGAGCGCAACCCUUAUUUUUAGUUACUAAUUCGUUAGGUUCUCUAGAAAGACUGCCGGUGACAAACCGGAGGAAGGUGAGGAUGACGUCAAGUCAGCAUGCCCCUUAUGUCCUGGGCUACACACGUGCUACAAUGGUUAAGACAAAGAGUCGCGAGCUCGCGAGAGUCAGCUAAUCUCAUAAACUUAGCCUAAGUUCAGAUUGUAGGCUGCAACUCGCCUGCGUGAAG